rnacentral:misc_RNA from 1 species
AACCUUAUGGACCUGCGGGCGUAUACCUGCGGAAGGAUCAUUACCGAGUUUACAACUCCCAAACCCCUGUGAACAUACCUAUACGUUGCCUCGGCGGAUCAGCCCGCGCCCCGUAAAAAGGGACGGCCCGCCCGAGGACCCCUAAACUCUGUUUUUAGUGGAACUUCUGAGUAAAACAAACAAAUAAAUCAAAACUUUCAGCAAUGGAUCU